CCGAGUAAGCGCCUCCGGGCGCGACCUCCAACCCUUUGUGAACCAAACCUCUGUUGCCUCGGGGUGACCCGGCCCGGCCCGGCCCCCGGAGGACAAUUUGACAAAACUCUGCAUCUUUGCGUCGGAUAUCAAAAGAAAUUGAUUA
rnacentral:misc_RNA from 1 species